rnacentral:sRNA from 1 species
GAAAUUCCAACAGCAUCGCACUGUGCGGCCUCUUCUGAGGUUCCUCUCUCAUUGGGCAGGGAUGUGUUCUUCCUCGGUCUCAUCAUUGCAUCUCUAGCACUAGUGGGAGAUGUCAAUAAGUGUUUAAUGAAUGAAUGCACGAACAUGCCACACCAGUGACCUCAGCUUAUGGUGAAAGACACGAGGAGUUAAUUAACUUAGGAAGCCCAGACUCCCACACUAUUAGUGAGGGACAAAAAUCUUCAGUAACUUCCAAAAUAACAAGGAAAGGCAAAGAAAAGUCUUCUGAGAAAGAAAAGACAGCCAAAGAAAAACAAGCACCUCGCUUUGAGCCUCAGAUAUCCACUGUUCACCCUCAACAAGAAGACCCAAAUAAACCCUACUGGAUUUUGAGGCUUCUCAGGCUCGUUUGCAUUACCUUAGCGGGUUCAUUA